rnacentral:lncRNA from 1 species
GGGCGGCGGCGCCAGUGGGGCCGGCACUGGCUUCGGUGGAGCCGGUUCAGGCUUAGGCGGUGGUGGAUCGGGAGCGGGCGCUGGAGGCGGUUCAGGUGCUGGCGCUGGCGGUUCGGGGGCGGGCGGCGGCGGGGCCGGUUCAGGUGGAGGCGGUGCCGGUUCUGGUGGGGGAGGAGCCGGUUCGGGUGGAGGAGGGGCCGGUUCAGGUGGCGGAGGAGGAGGAGGAGGUGGUGGUGGCGGGUCGUCCGGCUUGAUCUGGAUGUCUUUGAUCACCUUGCAGGCCAGGCAGCAGAGCUUCUUGAUAAGGCA